GCCCCCAGCCUAACGCCCCGCGCCUCGGGUGGGAGGGAUGCUGCCUACCUUGCGCCCCUCGGGCGCAGAAAAGACACCAGCUUGUAGUGCCCCAGAGUGGGCGCUUCUCCCCUCAGACUCCUGGUCACUGGGGAACGGCGCGGGGCCAGAGUUCGCCUCCGGAUCAUCCGCCCUCUGUGAGACACUGGGAGCUGCGCUGGCGCGGGCGGGGAACACAAGACAGGCACUCCACCCAUCGUGACCCCAGCGUCUGCAUGCUCCCGGCAGAUCCGGGUCUGGGCUCCUGUGGGAAGGGAGCGCUGGACAACACUUCACCCCAUCUCUGACCCUUCUCCUCGCUGACCACCCCUCCCAUUUUGGGUCCCACGGGUAGUGGGACACAGAACGGAUGCUACACCCAGGAUCCAAUGCUCCUUACAGACCUACAGGGGCUUCUACAACAACUGCCUAUUCUUGCUCCGCUCACUCAAGCUAGACGGAGAGAUGAAGAGCAAAGAGGUCCAAGAGGAGAAAGUGAGUCCUUGGAGGAACCAAAGCGUACCUUCUGGGGGAUCGCUUCAACUAAAUGCCUCCCGCUUCUGGCUGUGUGGCCCAGUGAGCGGCUGGGGCUCUGAGGGUGUGGUGCGUCACAAUAACUUCCAUCCUCUUGGGCCUCAGGGUGCCCCCAGCACCCUCAGUUCUGUUCAGCCAGCCUCUGGCAACACAGAACAAGGACUGAGCAGCUGGACGGGACAGUAGUGGAAAUGAAAGAAAGCAAGAGGCUCCAUAGCAACCCCGCCAGAGCCAGCGGGCUCCUGUGUGCCCUGGUACCAACAGAGCAAGCUAGCGGAGACAAGAAGCAGCCCAGGCAGCCAUGAUUAGAGGCAAGGCAGUUGCAGACUGUGAGGUGUUUCCCUGCCCCGUUGCCAUGAGCUCUGCGCAGCCCAUAGCGAGGCAACCAGCUCCCGCUCUAUCACACGUGUACCUUCUGGUGAGAGGGGACGUCCUUCUCAGUGAUCCGGCAGACAGAUUGAAAGACUAGAACUUCAUGAUUGUGGAGAAUUACAGGGUCACAGGCAGACAGCCAAAAUUAUCUCGUGCUAUCUUUAGUCCCCUUAACAGCCGCUCACUACCAACCUCUGUCCGACUUAGACUCUUUGUGAGUCCCCCCCAUCCCACCCAGGGAGACAGGAUCCACCACAGGCAGACAAUCUCACCGAGUCCAUCUACCCGGGCGAAUCCACCACAGGCAGACAGACAAUCUCACUGAGGCCAUCUACCUGGGCGAAUCCACCACAGGCAGACAAUCUCACUUGAGUCCAUCUACUUGGGCGAAGCGCUGUUUUCAGGGUUACUUACAGGGGCAUAGGUGGCUCCUCCACCUGAGCGCAGGCGAUAACUCACAAAGGCAUCCUUGCAGCCCCGUGCACAAGUUGCAGGCAGUUCCACGGAAGGCAUCCCCCUCUGCAGAGCGACGGUUUGCUGCUUUUAUAGCAUUGGGGCACAGCUCUGUGAAUCUUCUAACUCUCUGACCUCCCUCCUCCUGGCAAGUUUCCUUACCUCCUGGAGCCCUACGCCCUCCCCUCUAGGAAGAAACGCUUUAGUUAGAAGGAAAUGUGUCUACAGGAGGUUAGAGUGUAUUAUUUGGCAGACUGUUGGCUUCCACCAGCCCAAAAGCUGAUGCCAUCUGGUAGCAGGACACCCCUGGUAUCAGGCACAGUAGCCGUUUGCCCGAUAUGUUUUCCUGGGCUGUAUCUGGCCGGAACAAACUACUACUUGUAUCAAUUUGAAA